rnacentral:rRNA from 1 species
GAGUUUGAUCCUGGCUCAGAUUGAACGCUGGCGGCAUGCCUUACACAUGCAAGUCGAACGGCAGCACGGGAGCUUGCUCCUGGUGGCGAGUGGCGAACGGGUGAGUAAUGCAUCGGAACGUAUCCUGGAGUGGGGGAUAACGUAGCGAAAGUUACGCUAAUACCGCAUAUUCUGUGAGCAGGAAAGCGGGGGACCUUCGGGCCUCGCGCUCUUGGAGCGGCCGAUGUCGGAUUAGCUAGUUGGUGAGGUAAAGGCUCACCAAGGCGACGAUCCGUAGCAGGUCUGAGAGGAUGAUCUGCCACACCUGGAACUGAGACACGGUCAGACUCCUACGGGAGGCAGCAGUGGGAUUUGGACAAUGGCGAAAGCCUGAUCCAGCCAUGCCGCGUGUGUGAAGAAGGUCUUCGGAUUGUAAAGCACUUUAAGUU